rnacentral:tRNA from 1 species
UCCCUGGUGGUCCAGUGGUUAGGACACCACACUUCCACUGCAGGGGUAACAGGUUCCAACCCUGGUCAGAGAA